AUGAAUGAGUAUCUUCCACGGGCUGGUUCACCCCGACAUCACCGCAACAGCCAGAGCUGGGCCAGGCUGACCGCCACCCAGGUCUCCCGCAUCACCUGCUGCCUCCCGGGGUGCACGUGGGCAGGAAGGGGACUGGGAGCUCAGGAGGCGGGACUGGGAGCUCAGGAGCCCCGAGCGGGAGGCGGGACUGGGAGCUCAGGAGCCCGGGCAGGAGGCGGGACUGGGAGCUCAGGAGCCCCGGGCAGGAAGGGGACUGGGAGCUCAGGAGCCCCGAGCAGGAAGGGGACUGGGAGCUCAGGAGCCCGGGCAGGAGGCGGGACUGGGAGCUCAGGAGCCCCGGGCAGGAAGGGGACUGGGAGCUCAGGAGCCCCAGGCAGGAAGGGGACUGGGAGCUCAGGAGCCCCGGGCAGGAAGGGGACUGGGAGCUCAGGAGCCCCGGGCAGGAAGGGGACUGGGAGCUCAGGAGGCGGGACUGGGAGCUCAGGAGCCCCGCCUCCACCCUGCACCCCAAGACAGAACGCGGGCAUCGCAAGAGGCAGCGCGACCCUCGCGCCACAACACCCCUUCCCCGAUGGUCUUUGUCAAUGGAGGCCAAGCAAUGAGAAAGGAAGAGUACAUUUUCCAGAUUUUUCUAGUCCCUUCUACGCCCAAACAUUCAGAAGCUGUAGAAUAAUUUUUUUUCUUAUAAAAACGGACCUGUUCUCUGCCACAGUUAUCAGAGAAGCAACUCCACGUGGUGAAACUGAACAAAGAGGACAGAGGUGGGGAAGAGAGAAGGAAGGGCGGUGUACGGCAGACGGGGGGCGUCACCUGCACGGCCCAGAGGUCCGGUACUGCCAUCGGCCAUAUUCAGGGCGGAUGCAGACGCCAGAAGCACUCAGUGAGCAUGCGCUAAGUCAGCGAGCUGGUGAGCAUGCGCUAAGUCAAAGACCUGGCAAGCAUGCGCCAAGUCAGGGAGCUGGUGAGCAUGCGCUAAGUCAAAGACUUGGCAAGCAUGCGCUAAGUCAGGGAGCUGGUGAGCAUGCGCUAAGUCAAAGACCUGGCAGGCAUGCGCUAAGUCGGGGAGCUGAUGAGCAUGCGCUAAGUCAGAGAGCUGGUGAGCAUGCGCCAAGCCCUCAGUUUGGACAAAGGGGGAAAUACGAACUCGUGUGGCCUGCCGCUCCGCGGGCCUGGAGUUCCCGAUCACCGGGUGGGUGCCACGGCUGGGUAGGAAUACCGUCCCCGUGA
rnacentral:lncRNA from 1 species